GAACCUAUUAAGGUACAAUGAAAGUGUUAAGGUUUUAACUCAUAUCUUGUGUAACUCAGAAACCAAGUCAUGGAGAUCCUCUAAGCCUGCACCAUUGGAGCUUUGAUGCUUUGUUUCCUGUUGCGAUUUGGGGACAGUGAUGAUGAUUGGUUGGCUGGAUUGUUAGGUGAACCGGAAAAACAUGGUGUUUGCGUUUUUAGUUGGGUUUUCUUAUUGAUUUCCUUCAUACUUUACCCUGUGUUUGUCUAUAUCUAUAUGCCUCUACCACUUGAUGGUGUUGACUGCCUUUGCUGGUAGAUGAACAAUGGCCAUAGUCUCUGUGGGCCAAGUUAGAGGAAAAUAGAAUUUAUGCAGUCGUCUUCCUACAAGCAGGAGCUGAUUAAUGAAUCAAUUGGGUGAUGUCACUACAAUUGCAGAGGGCCUCUAUUGUGCAUUUAUCAUUGUAAAUCACUGCUAUGUAGCUUUUGCUUAUUCUUAAAUAUCAUGAUAUAUUGUUAAAUUGUGAUGUGAAAACUUGUUCAUUAA